rnacentral:rRNA from 1 species
CAGUCGCCACGGUAAUACGAAGGGGGCUAGCGUUGCUCGGAAUGACUGGGCGUAAAGGGCGCGUAGGCGGAUUGUUUAGUUAGGCGUGAAAUUCCUGGGCUUAACCUGGGGACUGCGCUUAAUACAGGCAGUCUAGAGUGAGGAAGAGGGUUGUGGAAUUCCCAGUGUAGAGGUGAAGUUCGUAGGUAUUGGGAAGAACACCGGUGGCGAAGGCGGCAACCUGGUCCUUGACUGACGCUGAGGUGCGAAAGCGUGGGGAGCAAACAGGAUUAGAUACCCCGGUAGUCCCUGUCUCUUAUAC